ensembl:lncRNA
AUGCUUUGCUCUCUACUUCCUUUAAAGGUUCCUUAUCUCUUUAAGAGUUUAGACUUCUUUUAUAACUGUGUCAGCUGCAACUCCCAGAGGUCCUGCCUUGCCUCCAGGUUUGUUUACCACUCAGCAGGGAUUUGUUUACUACCUAGUAGGAGAAGAGUCAAGAAGAUAAAAGCCAAUCAGGGAAGAAGAAAGACAGUACCAGACAGAAAAUACCAAGAAAAAAACAAAACAAAAAAAAACUACACCAUAGCCUUGUUGAGUAGACUAAAAUAAUCCAUGUAAAGAGCAUAGGUCAGUCCAAGUACAUUAUGGAGAUACACAAAAUUUAGCUCUCAUCAUCAUCAUCAAUAAUGGUAUGAUAAUUUUCUGUUUUAUUAAAAAAUGAGGCCAGACACAGUGGCUCAUGCCAAUAAUCCCAGCAUUUAGGGAGGCCAAGGUACAAAGAUUGCUUGAGCCCAGGAGUUUCCAACCAGCCUGGGCAACAGAGCAAGAACCCGUCUCUACUGAAAAAAAAAAAAAAAAUUAGCCAGGCAUGGUGGCUCAUUCCUGUGGUAUGUUGAGACUGAAGUGAGCCAUGGUCAUACCACUGCACUCCAGCCUGGGUGACAAAGCAAGAUCCUUUCUGUUGCAAAAACCAAAACCAAAACCAAAAAACACGCAAUACCUAAAGUCAUAUGUAAUCUACAAGGAUUUAUUUUGAAAUAAUUUUGGGGUUGUAUCUCAUGGAAUAUUUAAGACUGUCACCAGGAAUCUCUGGAACCAUUUGAGAUAAAGUCACUUCCACAUCGUGAGCCUUCCUCUCAAUGGCAAUUCUGUGAGAUGCCCCUGUCUCUCCAGGAUGACUAAAAAGAGGCUCUGUAGUCUAUGAAAACAGAGACUUCUCUCUCUCUCUUUUUUUUUUUUUUUAAAGAUGGGGUUUCACCAUGUUGGCCAGGCUGGUCUUGAACUCCUUACCUCAGGUGAUCCACCCACCUCGGCCUCCCCAAGUGCUGGGAUUACAGGUGUGAGCCACCACGCCUGGCGAAAACAGACUUCUCUAAGCCAUUAUAAGACCUAGUUAAGAUAGAACAAAAAACCAUUCUGCAAUUUAAGCAGAAAGUUGCAUAUUCACCAAGCCUCUGCAAAUCCAUACCCUUCACCCCUGGCAGACAGAUAGUGGAUGAUGUUACCUGAACAGUUAAGUUGGCACUGGACUAUUUUCAGGUGCAAUAAAUCUCAUCACCUUCCACAGUUAAGGUUUAUUUCCCUCAUGCACAAAAAGGAGCAGAGAGACUCCUCUUGGUUCCAUUUUAGUUUCUUUGACCAGACACAGCCAAGGAUCUCUUGGGUAGAACCGGUUCCAUAAGUCAAGAACCCAAGUGUCUGGCAUUUUCCUCUGUGUGCCUGAGGUUUGUAGAGAGGUUAAGACUCCUCCAGGAGCAUCCCGGAAAAAAGCUAAUUGCUCCCACAGAGGAAAGCAGUAUCCUAUCCUUACUUCUUCCCAUAACAGUAAGAACUGCUAAAUGCCCAUCAACUUUCUUCUCUAGAGUUGUGUUGCAUCUCCCUUAGUCUAUCUGCAUCAGAGUAGAUGCCAAAGAUCCUUUCCAAACAGCACAAAGAUAAUAAGCUCAGAUAUAAAUCACGUAUGAUAUCCGCUAAUUGAUUGUAUGUCAGGGAUACUCAUUUAUGAGGCUGUAAAAUGAAUUCUUUUACAAUGAAUGUCAAUAUUUUACACUCGAGUUUCAAAAACUCAUAGUUUUGAAGUGUUUCAAACCAUAGGGAAUAAAAUAAAAGUUACCAAUAGCUUGUCUUUGCAAAAGGGAAAUGGAAAUUGAGAUAAAGAGGCCAGACAAUUGGGACUCCUGAAGC